UACGUAGGGUGCAAGCGUUGUCCGGAAUUAUUGGGCGUAAAGAGCUCGUAGGCGGUUUGUCGCGUCUGCUGUGAAAACCCGAGGCUCAACCUCGGGCCGCAGUGGGUACGGGCAGACUAGAGUGCGGUAGGGGAGAUUGGAAUUCCUGGUGUAGCGGUGGAAUGCGCAGAUAUCAGGAGGAACACCGAUGGCGAAGGCAGAUCUCUGGGCCGUAACUGACGCUGAGGAGCGAAAGCUGGGGAGCGAACAGGAUUAGAACCAUACCGAC
rnacentral:rRNA from 1 species